rnacentral:rRNA from 1 species
AAUCAACGCUGGCGGCGUGCCUAACACAUGCAAGUCGAACGCGAAAGCCCCGCAAGGGGUAAGUAGAGUGGCAAACGGGUGAGUAACACGUGGGUGACCUGCCUUCGAGUGGGAGAUAACGUCCCGAAAGGGACGCUAAUACCGCAUGACAUCCUGCUUUUGAAAAAGCGGAGAUCAAAGCUGGGGAUCGCAAGACCUAGCGCUUGAAGAGGGGCCCGCGCCUGAUUAGCUAGUUGGUGAGGUAACGGCUCACCAAGGCGACGAUCAGUAUCCGGCCUGAGAGGGCGGACGGACACACUGGGACUGAGACACGGCCCAGACUCCUACGGGAGGCAGCAGUGGGGAAUUGUUCGCAAUGGGCGCAAGCCUGACGACGCAACGCCGCGUGGAGGACGAAGAUCUUCGGGUCGUAAACUCCUGUCGAGCGGGACGAACGCUUCGCGGAUGAAUAAUCCGCGGAAUUGACGGUACCGCUAAAGGAAGCCCCGGCUAACUCCGUG